rnacentral:rRNA from 1 species
UACAUGGGGUGCAAACGUUGCUCGGAAUUAUUGGGCGUAAAACGCACGUAGGCGGUUCGUUAAGUCGGAUGUGAAAGCCCUCGGCUCAACUGAGGAAGUGCACCCGAAACUGGCGAGCUUGAGUACGAAAGAGGAUCGCGGAAUUCCCGGUGUAGAGGUGAAAUUCGUAGAUAUCGGGAGGAACACCGGUGGCGAAGGCGGCGAUCUGGGUCGAUACUGACGCUGAGGUGCGAAAGCGUGGGGAGCAAACAGG